UACAGAGGGGGCAAGCGUUGUUCGGAAUUACUGGGCGUAAAGGGCGCGUAGGCGGCCUGCUAAGUCGAACGUGAAAUCCCUGGGCUCAACCCAGGAACUGCGUCCGAUACUGGUUGGCUUGAAUCCGGGAGAGGGAUGUGGAAUUCCAGGUGUAGCGGUGAAAUGCGUAGAUAUCUGAAGGAACAUCAGUGGCGAAAGCGACUUCCUGGACCAAUACUGACGCUCAUGUGCGAAAGCGUGGGGAGCAAACAGG
rnacentral:rRNA from 1 species